rnacentral:rRNA from 1 species
AUUGAACGCUGGCGGCAUGCUUUACACAUGCAAGUCGAACGGCAGCGCGGGCUUCGGCCUGGCGGCGAGUGGCGAACGGGUGAGUAAUACAUCGGAACGUGCCCAGUAGUGGGGGAUAGCUCGGCGAAAGCCGGAUUAAUACCGUAUACGACCUGAGGGUGAAAGCGGGGGAUCUUCGGACCUCGCGCUAUUUGAGCGGCCGAUGGCAGAUUAGCUAGUUGGUGGGGUAAAGGCCUACCAAGGCGACGAUCUGUAGCUGGUCUGAGAGGACGACCAGCCACACUGGGACUGAGACACGGCCCAGACUCCUACGGGAGGCAGCAGUGGGGAAUUUUGGACAAUGGGCGAAAGCCUGAUCCAGCAAUGCCGCGUGUGUGAUGAAGGCCUUCGGGUUGUAAAGCACUUUUGGCGGGAACGAAAAGGACUGUGCCAAUACCACGGUUCGAUGACGGUACCCGCAGAAUAAGCACCGGCUAACUACGUG